UAGCUGAAAAUACAAUAUAUUUCACAGCUGUUUAGAUGGUACAAUGAUUAUCUACACUAUCCUUGCUUGUUUUAUCACAUAAACUGAUAUUAGCAAGCAGGAAACGGAGGAACGAUUUCUGCAUAGUGUAUCUUUAAAUACACAUUAAACAGUAAAACAGAUUAAAGAAAUAAUUGUCCUAUAGUUCCUUUAUAAAAAAUGCUUUAUGGACAAUGUAUUAAGCAUGCUUUCAGUUUAUUUUUAUUUAAUUUUUAUUUAACCUUUAUUUAACUAAGCAAGUCAGGCUUUUCUAUUAUAACACAUUUUGUCAAAUUCCCUUAUCGUGCCUGAUUGAUUACAGCGUUGUACUCAGAUAUCUGAUAUGUUUUUUGUUAAAUAACUUGGUAAAUUGAGUAAAUGGUUUCAAUCGUUUUUUCACCAUUCAUUUUUCCGUAGGGUAAUUUCAAACUACUUCAUAAGGUUUGUGUUUUGUGUAUGCUUAUCCCGGCAUUACGUAUUGAUAACCACAGACAAGGUAACUUUUAUCAGUAUAUUCUUCUGUAAUAACUUUCCAAAAAUAAAAUGCUAAUUAGCCGCUAAUGUGGCUAUGAUACAGAACUACACAUCUUGAUGCAAGUUUUGACUUAACCACUCAAGGCGCAGGGUGGAAAGAACCUCCACAUUUCUUCAUGCAAACUCAUCCACAAGUAACCUAGCAAGUAGAUAUUACAGCCUUUCUAGUUUCUCGUGUAAAUCAUUUAUAUUUUGUAUUUCUUGUGUGUAUUCUUGUUUAGCAUUUUUCAAAUUACCUAGCUAGCUACCGUAGCAUUUUUCAUUACUCUAAUUUUUUUAAUUACCCUGGCCUUUUUAGCUAACUAGCUAACCUUAGGUCUCUCCGUCGAUCAGAAGCAAGGAUGGUUCUGUACUCUACACCGGAUUGUAACCAGUAACGUUACUUUGAUAAGCACACGUGUAUUUGAUCGUUUUCCGUCCUCUGAGUGAGAGGCUUCGCUGGAGUUGUGUGAUAAGAUUGGUGGACCGGAAACCCAGUGGCAACAAUCAGGUCUGUAUCUGUCAUUUUCCGGUGGGAAAGAGAAAUGGCCCUGUAUUUACCAGAGAAAGAUCCAGACUGUUGAUUGGGAAAAAAGAACAAACAAUGAGGCAUGAGGAUUGGGUGUUGAGGGACCAUUUGUCACAUUGUCCAAGUCCAAAAGGAGUGCAUCCCUUGUGCCAUCUGGUGCACGGACAUCCUUUGCCAGUGUGAUCCGAGUGCAAGUGUCAAGUUGUAGAGACUACAACAGAUCGAGCCUGUGGACGGACAGACAUGAGGAGUGACAUGCGGAACACCAGGCUCACCCCACGAGAAGCAGUGCAUAUUCAACGCCAUCCUCAGCAAGGAGAUAUGCUGGAAAUGAUGUACUCUCUAACUCUGGGGUUGCUGACAAGCGGAGCAAUAGGAGGCUGUCAGAUGUUGUCACGCUGGAUGGGGAUGGUGAUGGAGGCUUUGGUGGUUCACACAACGAAGAAGCAGAUAUCCCUUCCAGUGAUGUGGAGAUGAUGUUGGACCUGGUGCCAGGAAGGAUUGUCUUCACAGAGGCAGUAAAACCCUCCUUCCUUCAUAUAGGAAUCCUUCAACUUCACUGUCUCUUCAAUAGUAAGGUCCCUUGCACCAUAGGGACACUUGACCUCCAACACAGCUGUGGUGCCCACCCAGAAUCCCAGACCCCGUGAACAAAAGCCCUCCUGCACAUCCAUCCCUGUAGCCAUUUUAAAUGCCUUGAUGCCCUCCUCUUUGUUACCUGUGCCCCACUUUAUAGACACCCAUCCAACGACUGUGAUCUGAGGACCCUUUUUUAGCAGUGAUGGAGUAACACGCUUGGCCCUGCUCCAUAAUUUAUGGCUGUCAACCUCCAUCUUCUCAUGGUGUGUCAGUUGGGGUUGGUGCACUGUCGAACUGUUGCCUGCCAUAUAGCUUUCGGCUGCUCCACCAACAGCGCCAUGCCAACCAGGACGCCAGCUUGCCCAAGGUGCCUUUUUUUAUUUACAUUUUUUUUAACAAUUUCCAGUACAGACAGGGAUGACAGGGAGGGUAGCAGUUGUUCUGGCUCAGGUUCAGGGAGACAUGCCAUUCCACUGAACCUGCCCCAGAGAUGGUUCCUUAGCUACUGAAGAUCCUCCUCUGUGGGCUCUCAGGACAGAGGGUUGUAGUCUUCGGCCAGGUACAGGUCCUCCACUGACUGCCCCUAGUUGGGCACGGCUGGCUUCCUCCACUAGCAUUCCACAUCCGGCUGAUAUUGUGACCCACCAAAAUAGGCUGCAUGGCUACCCGUAUGAGAUCCACGGAGGCAUAGAGGGAAUCACCUGGUCACCUAAAGAGACCUGCCAAGACCUGCCAAGAUGGAAGAUGCCUUUCAAUACAUUAAUUUGAACACCUUGAAAUACAUUUGUUGUAAAAAAAUGUGCUGUAUAAAUAAAGUUUGAUUUGAAGGAUGACAUAAUCUGGUUAAUGAUAAUUGAUUAAGUGUAUCUUUCUUUGUAGAAUGUUGACAGCUGUAUAGAACACAUUGUAUUGCUAAGAUUCUCAAACUUAACUUGAUAGCUACACUCCGAUACAGGAUAAACUUUAUCUCUCAUAUUGGCCCUGACCAAACCGAUAAGUUGCCCCUCACUAUAGCUAUACUUCUCCACAUGGUAUCAUGGUAUCAAGGUAUCAACUGUCGCAGAUGCAGACAGUUUUGAAGUAACAAAAGUUUAUAACAAAAAUGGGGGUAGGCAAACGACAGGUCAAUGGCAGGCAGUGGUCAACAAUCCAGAUCAGAGUCCGAAACAGGAGACAAAGGGCUGUGAGACAUAGUUUUAAUCCUAGACACAUGAAAAGUGGGAUGUAUACGGAGGGUACGGGGCAACAGAAGAUGAACAGCAGAAGGGGCUAAUCAUUGUGGGGAUGGGGAAAGGGCCAGUAAAAUGGGGGGAAAGUUUGCAGGACUCCACCCGGAGGGGCAGAUCUCAAGUAGACAGCCAUACCCUCUUCCCGAGACGACACUGGGGAGCCGGAGUCCGGUGUCAGUCCGCUUGUCGCCGAUACCUGGAGGUAGUCUUGAGAAGAGCCGACUGGGCUCUCUUCCAGGUACGGCGACAGUGGCGGACAAACAUCUGGCCCGAGGGUAUGCCGGCCUCUUGCUCCGGGAAGAGCGGGGGAGGGUGUUGCCCUCGAAAGGCGAGAGUCCGGUGGCAGAGCAGGGGAGGGUGUAGCGGGCUUAUUCAACACACACGAGUUGCUGGCUCGAGGUGGUGGGGUUGGCGGAGACAAGGCAGCGAAGAGUGGUCUCAAGGUCUUGAUUGGCUUGCUCUGACUGGCCGUUGGACUGAGGGUGGAACCUGGAGGACAGGCUGGCCGACGACCCAAUGAGUGUGCAGAACGCCUUCCAGAACCGGGACUAGAACUGAGGACCCCGGUCGGAGACCAUGUCCACCGGGAGUCCAUGGAUCCAGAAGACGUGCUGCACCAUGAGCUGGACCGUCUCUUUGGCAGAGGGUAGCUUGGGGAGAGGAAUGAAAUGGGAGGCUUUGGAAAACAGGUCCUCUACUGUCAGGAUUGCAGUGUUGCCAUCAGACGGCGGGAGACCUGUGGAAAAGUCCAGGGAUAUGUGAGACCAGGGAUGGUGAGGGACAGGCAAUGGUUGAAUGAGACCAGCUGGAGCUUGCCAAGGAGUCUUGUUCUGCGCACAGAUCGUGCAGGCAGGAACCAUGGUAGGUCACCAAAAGCGUUGCCGCACAAAGGCCAGGGUCUGAUGGGAGCCCGGGUGGCAGUCUAGCCUGGAGGAUAGGUCCCACUCCAGGAACGAGGGGUGGACAGCAUCAGGAUCAAACAUCUGGUUAUCUGGGCCCCCCGGGGUUUUGCUGGGAACAUUGCACCUCAUGGACCUGCUUCUCUAUUCCCCAGCUGAUUAACGUCGCCAGGCACGAGGAGGGAAGGAUGGUCUCGGGGUCCAAGGGCAUAGCCGCGGGGCUAUAGUGGCAUGGCAGCGCAUCCGGCUUGAUAUUCUUGGAUCCCUGUUGGUAGGAGAGGGAGAAGUUAAUCCAGGUGAAAAGCAGGGCCCACCUAGCUUGCCUGGAAUUGAGAUGCUUGGCGGUGUGGAGAUAGUCCAGGUUCUUGUGAUCAGUCCACACAAUGUUCCGCCCCCUCCAACCAGUGUUUCCACCCCUACAACGCCAUCUUCACUGCGAGAAACUCACGAUUCCCCACAUCGUAAUUCCUCUCUGUGGCGUUGAGGUGAUGGGAGAAGGCGCAGGGGUGUAACUUGAGGUCCAGGGCAGAACGCUGGGACAGGACAGCCCCACUCCGACAUCCGAAGCAUCGGCCGGGACGGGUCAGGGCGGAACCGAUAUGGGAGCUGUGGUGAAGCAGUGCUUGAGGUCCCAUAAUGCCCGGUCAGCAGCUGGGGACCAUGUGAACGGAACCUUGGGCGAGUUGAGUGCAUACAGCGGGGAAGCCAGGGUGCUGUAGCCCCGGAUAAAGUGGCUAUAAAAGUUGGCAAAAUUCCAGGAGACGUUACACACUGCACUCUGGACGUAGGCUGGUGCCAAUCCAAUACUGCUCUCACCUUCCCGGGAUCAAUAUGUUAAUUUCCUGCAACGAUGAUGUAACAAAAAAGGGGGAUGGAAUUCACAUUUCUCCGCUUUCACAAAAAGCUGGUUCUCCAGGAGGCGCUGGAAGACCUGUCGGACAUGGAGCACAUGUUCUUGGGCUGAGUGGGAGAAAAUGAGGAUGUCGUCGAGGUGGACGAAGAUGAACCGGUUCAACAUGUCGCGGAGAACAUCCUUAACCAGAGCCUGGAACACAGCUGGAGCAUUGGUAAGGUCGAAUGGCAUGACCAGAUAUUCGUAGUGACCGCUGGCUAUAUUGAAGGCAGUCUUCCACUCGUCCCUUCCCUGAAUCCGCACCAGAUGGUAGGUGUUCCGCAGGUCAACUUGGAGAAAACGGUGGCCCCCUGGAGUGGCUCGAAGGCCGAGGUGAUGAUUGGUAGCGGGUAGCGGUUAUUCACUGUGAUGUCAUUGAGGCCCCGGUAGUCGAUGCACGGGUACAGGGUUUUGUCCUACUUCUCCACAAAGUAGAACCCUGUGCCGGCGGGGGAGGCAGAAGGACAGAUACACCCUGCAGCUACGGAGUCCUGUAGUUCUCCAUAGCCUUGGUCUCCGGACCCAACAGAGAGUACAGUCGUCCCUGGGGCGGGGUGGUGCCAGGGAGAAGGUCGAUCCCACAGUCAUAGGGUCGAUGCGGAGGAAGUGAAGUGGCCCGGGCCUUACUGAAAAUCUCCUGUAUAUCCUGGUAUUCCGCGGGAAUGGCAGAGAGGUCCGGGGCAACUACCGAGCCCACAGGAAGACUUCCCAGGGCAGGCUGUGCUGACUUCAAGCAAUGGGUGUGGCAGAACAGGCUCCAGCCCAUGAUGGCUCCAUCAGUCCAGUUAAUGAGGGGAUUCUGUCGCUGGAGCCAAGAUGAUCCCAAUACCACAGGAACCUGAAGAGACUUAAUUAGCAUGAAUUGGACUGCCGCGCUCUGUUCCCCUGACACUCGUAGGUUGAUGGGAGUGGUAUUGUGGGUGACCCGGCCUAUAGAGCGCCCGUCCAGUGCUCUAAGAUGCAUGGGAAUGGAGAGGGGCUCAGUGGGGAUGCCCAGUUCGGACACCAUGAUAGCUUACAUAAAACUCCCAUCGGCCCCAGAGUCGAUGAGUACGCAGAGAGAUUUCGUCUGGUUACCCCACAGCAACAUGGCAUGGAAAGGGGUGCGAGUAAGGGGAGAGGAAAAGUUCUCCUUAAGGCCCACCAGAGUACUCGUCCCUACUGGUGAGCCUGAUCUCUUAGUGGACAGGAGGACACAUAAUCACCAGUAGUCCCGUAAUACAGGCAACUCUUCGUGUGAAGCUGGUGUAGGCAUUCGGCUGGGGACAGCCUAGCUCUGCCUAGUUGCUUCGGCUCGGGAAGAGGUGAAUUGGCAGACUUUGGAGACUCUCGGGUAGCCUCGGGUCCUCUCGGCCAUGGAUGACGUCGGGGUCUUCCGGGAUACCUCGGAAGCGAGGUGAAAUCUUUGGGAGGGCGUGUGACCUCCUCCUUCCUACAUUACUGUAGCCUCCCAUCGAUCCGGAUGGUCAAGGCAAUGAGCGAGUAGAGAUCCGUCGGUAGUUCUCGGGCUGCUAGCUCGUCCUUAACUAACUCCGAUAAUCUGUGCAGGAACGUGUCGAACAGCGAUUCCAGGUUCCAGGCACUGUAAGUUGCCAGAGUCCAGAAAUCCCCCGCAUAGUCUGCCACACUUAGGGAGUCUUGCCAAAGCUGCAGUAACUUCCGGGCAGCCUCUCUCCCAGACAAUGGAGAAUCUAAAACCUUCUUCACCUCCACCACAAACUCCUCCAGACUGAAGCAUUUGGCCGACUGUUGUUCCCACACGGCCGUAGCCCAGGCGAGAGCCCUCCAAGACAUCAGCCUGAUAAGGUACGUUAUCUUCGAGCGAUCCGAGGGGAAGGAGGAGGGCUGCAGUUCGACGAUGAGAUAAACGCCGGACAGGUUCCCGACUCUCCAGCGAAGCAUUCUGUGGGAGGUAAGCAGAGUUCUCGGGAAACCGGGCUAACAGCCGGGUUACUGAGGGGCUGGAAGGUUACCAUCGUGGUUGGCGGCCAGACAGACAACCUGCGGAAUUCCUCCAGCAAUGUGUUCAACAUGCAGUCAUGGCGUUUGGCCAAGGUUUGGAACCCUUCCAUAAAACCACGAAGCAACUCCUCAUGCCUUCCAAUGGUGGCUCCUUGGGAGGAGAGGGCAUUGCAGAGCUGGUCCGAGUCUGCUGUCCAUCAUGGCCAG